UACGUAGGCAGCGAGCGUUGUUCGGAGUUACUGGGCGUAAAGGGUGCGUAGGUGGUGAUGCAAGUCUGGUGUGAAAUCUCGGAGCUUAACUCCGAAAUGGCACCGGAUACUGCGUUGCUCGAGGACUGUAGAGGAGAUCGGAAUUCACGGUGUAGCAGUGAAAUGCGUAGAUAUCGUGAGGAAGACCAGUUGCGAAGGCGGGUCUCUGGGCAGUUCCUGACACUGAGGCACGAAGGCCAGGGG
rnacentral:rRNA from 1 species